CUAGAGUACCAAACAUGCUCAAGAAUUGUAUGAGGGUCUCCUGAAUUGCAGGGGUGGAAACAUACACCUCAAGUUCCUGCCCCACAACUGGAGCAACUGAUGGCUCCUCUGUUGCAGCUUGGGCAGGUGCUCUAGCUACUCAACGUUCCCUUCCUCGACCUCUGCUCCGCCCCCUCCCCAGCCUCUUGCAGCUCUAGUAGGGGGCGUGUGUGUCUAAUCGUUGAAUUUAGCAGUGCAUGUCCUCACCAUCUGUAAAAGGACAGAAAGACAAUGAUUCAUAAUUUCGAAGUCACUAAAUUCACACGAUAAGGAGUCAAAGAAGUGAAGUUUCCUAACAGUACCAUUGCCCCUCGUAGAUAAGUAUAGAUAUCUUAGUACCGAUCCGCGAGACUCUACUAAAUCUUGUUAUGACUCGUAACACCUAUGAACCUAGAGCUCUGAUACCAACUUGUCACGACCCCAAUCUCCCUCUGUAGGAUGUUGUAAUGGCACCUAAUCUCUAACACUAGGUAAGCCUAACAUAUAUGAAGAAUUUAACGGAAACAAUAAUAAAACUUCCAAUUUAAACCAAUAGCUAUCAUAGAAAGGACUCCGCAAUCCAACUGAACCUAACUCCCUAAAUCUUGUAAUACCGAGUCACAAGCUUUACACGAGUAUACUUAACAUCCCAUAAUUUAUGAAAAGGAGAACGAAAUAGAAACUAGAUAGAGGGUGACUCCGAGACCUGCAAAUGCCGGUAGGUAUACCUUGAAGUCUAUGAUCCAAGCCCGACUCACGGAUGCCUAGGCUAGUAUGAAGUACUUGGAUCUGCACAAAAAGAUGUGCAGAAGUGUAGUAUGAGUACGCCACAAUGGUACCCAGUAAGUAUCAAGCCUAACCUCGAUAGAGUUAUGAUGAGGUCAGGUCAAGAAACCUACUGGAAUAAAUAAACAAAAUGAACAAGUAUAGUGUAGUAUGAUAAUGAAAACAAGGAAAUGAUAUAAGGAAGAAAUAUAACAAGAAUACCUACACUGAGACUAAGGUAAUUAAGACAUCAUGGAAGAAACACAUAAUAAGAAUGCCAAGGAACUGAUGCAAAUAAAACACAAGUGAUAUAACUGAAAGGUAUCAACCAGAAUCACUACUGAGGUACCGCCUCGUAGUCUCAUUUCACAAUUCAAAUUACAAUCUUUCCUUAUACACUACGGGAGCCUUGAAUUUUCCCGAAAUAGCUACCCGCGUCUUAGCCCACCUUAUCACACCGCGUGGAUUCAAGUAAUUCCCCUACUAGCAACACGCAUAUCAAGCUCACCUUAUCUCACUGCAUACAUUUUAACCCCAAUCCAUAUACCAACGCAUGCAUAUUCAUAUCACAACACAUCACAAAUCGCGCCUCAAAUGCUCAAUACUACAACUUUCUAAAGAAGUCAACAAUAAUAGUAUUUUCACAAUAAAUAGCCCAUGGCUAAACCACAAUAUGUACAAGAGUCUUAACAAUAGCAACCAAAAAUGAAUAACUCAACAAGAAUGGUAUUUCAACAAAUUUACAAUUUUGCCUCAAUGUGAAUCACGACCUUUAUAACUUCAACACCAUAAUUCAACAAUAAGAUCUUCCAAGAAAUAACAAAUUCAAGUAAAGGAACUAUGUCAAGUAAAUCACGUAAGGAUAGGUUAACGAUUAUGAAGAUAACAUGUUAUGACAAUUUAAUUAAAGGCAUGAAAGAAUCUACGUAGCUCAAGCCGGUGAAUUACCACAUUUAGCCUGUGUACCCACUCGUCACCUUGCGUACACAGUUUUCAUAUACCACAAUUAACACAAAACAACACCAAUCCUAAGGGGUAAUUCCCCACACAAAGUUAGGCAAUGCACUUACUUAAAAACACGCUAACUCAAUCCACUACUAAGCCUUUUCCACGAUUAUCCAACUCCGAACGACUCGAAUCUAGCCAAAAUAGCAUUAUGCCAUAAACACAAACCAUAAAAAAUUAUUCCGAAUAAUAAAGGUGCAAUCUUUAAAGAAUAUCAAAAAUUCAACUUAAAAAGUCAACCCCGUACUUGCAUCUCGGAACCCGGCCAAACGUAUGAAAUCCCAACACUCAUUCGAUAAUGAGUCCAACCAAACUAGAAUUAUUCAAAUAUGAACUCAAAUUGCCAAAAUUUGGUCUAUCAAGUUUCAAAAAAAUUUCCCAAAUUUUCCAACUCAAAACACUAAUUAAAUUACAAAAACACGACGGAUUCAUGUACAAUAGCCAAAUCCGAGUUAGAAUCACUUACCCCGAUGAAUUCAUUGAAAAUCCCUCUAAAAAUCCCCAAAAACCGAGCUCUCUAGGGAAAAAAGAUGAAGAAUGAAACAAAACCCUUGUUUUUGAAAUUUAACACUGCUACCCAGUUAUCCUAUCUCACGAUCGCAGACAAAAGACUCGCGAUAGUGGAGAACAAAUCUCCUCAGCUCAAAAAAAGACAAUAUGCUAUCGUAUGACUAUAGUCAUGAACGCGAUGGCAGGAGCUGCCAAGGUUACACGAUUGCGGACAACACCACGUGAAAGUGAAAGAACAACGCAAGCCUCAGCACCGACUCGCCUUCUUUAUAUGCGAAUACGUUCAUAUCCAUGCAGUCACGAUGCACAAGCUCCCAAACCUUCGCGAUCAAACCAUCCCAGCAGUCCCUAAGGAUUCUACGUGAUCAUAGGAGAACCUUCGCGAACGCAUAGAAGGAAACUAGAACAGAAAAACCAGCAGUCCUAGUUCAAGAGCAAAUGGUCUGAACUCAAUCCGAAACACGUUCGGGCCCUCCGGGACCCCGUCCAAACAUACCAACAAGUCCUAAAACAUGAUACAAACUCGCUCGAAGCCUCAAAUCAUAUUAAGCAAUACUAAAACCACAAAUUGUACAUCGAUUCAAGCCUAAUGAACUCAUGAAUCCCUAACUCCUAAAUUAAUGUUGAAACAUAACAAACAAACCCCAAUUGACCUCAAAUUUCGCACACAAGUCAAAAUUGACAUAACUGACCUAUUCCAACUUUUGAAUCCAAAAUCUGGACCCGAUAUCAAUAAAUUCAACUCCCGGUCAAACUUCUCAACCUUCCAAACCUUCAACUUUUCAACUUUCGCCAAUUCAAGCCAAAAAGACCUACGGACCUCCAAAUCAAUAUUCGAACAUCCUCCCACGUUCAAAAUUACCAUACGGAACUAUUGAAAUCGUCAAAACUCCUUUCUGAAGUUGUCUACACAAUAUUCAAAUUCUGGUCAACUCUUUCAACUUAAACUUUCAACUUUUGGAUUAAGUGUCUCAUUUUUCACUCUGAAACUCGCCCGAACGAAAACCAAACAUCCCGGCAAGUCACAUAACCAUAAUAGAAUAUAGAGGAGGAAAUAAAUAGGAGAAUGGGACUAAAAUACUCCAAAUGACCAGCCGAGUCAAUACAAUGUCUUUACUCUAUUUUGACAUAACAUUAAUUCUAUUUUAUUCUUAAUCGCAAGCAUUUGUUACAAUUUCAUUUGGGCUUUACAUUGAUUUUAUCUGCAUUUAAAUGUUAUGUUGGGCCUUGUCACUAAUGUUUGCCUUUCUAUUUUGCACAUGUGAUCAAAAUGGGCCUGUUGAGUUCUCAAGAACUCAGGUUCAAGUUCUAGCCUCACGUCUGAAGUCAUUGAAGUUGUUGCUACUAUUCGUUUUCCAUUGGGCCUGACAUUCUUUAGGCCCAAACCAUGAGUCCAAUUCCCUUUGUUUUAUCGCUUUUAUAUAAAUUUGUUGUUGUUUCUAUGUAUAUAUAACACUGAUAAUAUUGAGAGAAUGAUUUUCUCUUGUAUCAUUUUUUAAUUAUUUUAGAAACUUAGGCAAGUUGAAAAAUCAUAAGUAAUAUCAAAAGGAAUGGCAAUCUCUUCAAUCAGUUAAAUAACUUCAACUUAUUUAAUUAUUUCUAUUAUACAAUUUUCACUUUCAUCUCUACUAACCGUUUUUUCAUGAAUUUUUGAAGUUCAAAACAGAUUUGAAAAGUCGACAAUCAUCUUUCUUUAAAAGCCAGAAUUGGGCAGAUAAUUUCAAAGUCGAGUUAUCUACAAAACAAAUGAACACAAUUGCGAUCAAAGAACUUCAAACGAUGUUCUUCUAAACUUGGAUGCAGAAUAUGGAAGAGUUUUCAAGGUAUAUCUAAACCCAUUUCUCCAAUAACUCUUAUUUCACUACAGCUACAGAAAUAGCCAUUUUGUUUCACAAGUAAAAAGUAUUUUUAAACCUAGCCAUACUUAUAAAGUUUACAAAUAAAGCCUUAUAGUCCUACUUUCAAAAGUUCUUUCAAUCACGUAAAUAUGAACACUUUUCAAGGCUUUUACAAAUGAAAACUACACUCUCCUUUCAAAAUUGCAUACAUCAUUUUCAAGUGAUAAGUUUUAGUCAUGACAUAGAGUAAGCUACAUAUUUUUAAGCACUAACCAGUAGAAUAUAGACAUUUAAUUUCCUAAACCUAGUCUAAGUCCUAUGGUGCUACCUUAGGUAUAUUCUAGGAGGUGCGUAACACCUUCCCCUUAGAAGAACAAGAACCCUUACCCAAAUUUCACUGGUUAGCAGACCAAUAAAUAAUAAUUUAAUAAUUGAAUAGGUAUCGUAGUAUACCUAUAAAUAUUAUAUGGCGACUCUUUUUCAUCAUCAAUAGGGACACUACUAGUUCAAUCUUACUUUGACUCGUGCAAAAUAUGGUGCAACAACAAUGUCCUACUCUGGAGUGUGAUUAGAUGAGGUUUGGGCUCCCUCUCCAGCCUGAGAAGUGUCUACGACCGCAAGAAUUAUCUGUACAUGUGUUAAACCUCAAAAUAACUCAAAAUUUGGACCAUGGUUUCCUUAAGCACUAGAAUAGCAAUAAAACCUUGGGAACUUGUGUUGGACCGAUUGGAACAACCUGAUCUACCACUGGAGCUAGGUGGCUCCUCAGAAGCAUCUAUUGUACGUGCACGAGUAAUUGCGGGUGCUCCACCUCUUAGGGGUGCUGCCAUACAUACCUUGGUCUGAGAUCCAGCCCUACCUGAGCCCUGCCUCCUCUAGAUCCGGCCUAGGGUAUUGGCUUCUGCUUAACCGUUACGGAUGCAUGUGGCCUCACCUUCUAUAAGAGAAUAGAAGAGUAAGGUUCAAACACUAAGAUAAAACAAGGGACGCACAAUAAGGAAAGAAAGAAGGAAAUUUUCCUAAAUCCCUGUCACACCUCCUUUUUACCCGCCCGUGAGGGAUAUAAGGGAGUUUUUCCAAUUAAAGUGACAUUAAUCGAAAUGGGAUUAAUUAAUUUAUUUUUUAGAGUCGCCACUUGGAAUAGUUUAUUAUCGUGUCCCAAGUCACCGGUUUAUUAUAAAAUCCCCAGUCGAGGAAAUUUUCGACUUUAUUUAAAAGUCUGCGAACCAGAAAUUCUAAGUAAGGAAUUUUGUUAACCUGGGAGAAGGUGUUAGGCAUUUCCGAGUUCCGUGGUUCUAGCACGGUCGCUUAAACUAUUAAUAAUUGGCUUAUUAUCUGAUUUACUACACAUUUUAAACCUAUUGUGCAUUUUUAACUUUAUAACCGCCUUUUAAUUAUUUUAUGGAAUUAUUCUGGAACAAGUUACGAUUGUUGUACACUUGUUUGUGUGAUACACAUUGCGAAUUAUGUCACGGGAACCGUACCCACGAUCUACAAUAUGUCUAAUUUAUUAAAGUUAUUAGAAGGUGUGGCCAGGUCACAUAAAUGUACCUCCGGAUUUGGAAAUUAGGUAUCACAGCUAAGUCAUGGGAACCAUACCCGUAGCUAUGAUGAUUUUAUUAUAAACGCGCCUAAAGCAAACUACGAGUGUUUAAAAAGGUGUCUUUCCAUACUAAGUUAAUAUUAAUGUGAGGGCCAUAGGUUAUGGCUUUUAUUUGUGUAUGGCACACCGCAAUUUAUUUUUGAAAGAAAAGAUUUGUAUUUUUGUAAGGCAAACUAAAGAUGCUCCUACUUUAAUCUAAUUUAAAAUUAGGUAUCACAACCACGUCACAGGAAUUGUGCCCGUAGUUGUAUUAAUUUAAUUGCGUGCAUAAAGCAAACUACAGUGUUUCAAAUUUGUGAUUCAUAGCCAAUUUGGGAUUGUUGUGAAUGCUCUGACUUAUGGACUUGACUUAUUUGGGAAGAAAAACAUACUAAUACUACGGAGAAAAGACAAAUCUAGGAUGCAUUACUGCAUGGAGUAUGAAUUUUUCAACACAUUUUGAAAGGAAGAAAAAAAAGCCAUGUUAAUUAGUUAGGUUUGUUCGUGUUCCACUUGAUUUCCACAUCAAUUUUAUUUUUUAUUUUUUUAUUUUUACAACAAAAAAGUUCAAAGAACUUUGCCACACAUGCCUAAGAUAAAUAUAUUUAAUUAACAAUGCUACAAAAUAUAUAUUAUAACAUGAAGCAACAUUUCAAAUGGUAAUCACCAAAUAUACAAGUAUUUAGACGUCUCUGUGAGUGAAGAAAGCACAUGUUCCUUUUAAUUCAGAUGCCAAAAAAAAAAACGAACAUCUCGAGGUAUCCUGGGAACAGAAAUUGGAAUAACUGACAUGAACAGAUCUUUUCAACAUAUAUACUGGGACAGCCUCAAGCAGCAAAGUUAAAAUCAAGUAGGCUCCUUAUUCAUAUGUAAACUCAAAGCAAUUAAAUACUAAUAUUCCCACCAAUCAAAUAUCAAAUCAGUGAUCAUAGAGUCAUAUCGAACUAUAAUCCGACAUGUCCAAACCAAGCAGAUUCAUAAAUUUAUAUGCUUGUCCAAAGUGAAGCAACAGAUUUAACAAAAUGACAUGGAAAAACUGGAGCCAAAUCAAAUCAGUAUUUUAUGCAUUCAAAACUAGCAACAAUCAGAAAAUUAGAAGUGUACCUACCUUGUAUUUUAAAAGAAACGAAGGAAAAGCGAAACGAAGCUCAACAGCAAUUUCCCGUCCACAACAAACAACAAUCGCAGCAAGACAACUCCAAUUAGAGCUUCGAUAACUUGGAUCCUAAAUAAGAUACGGGCAUCGAGAGAAGAGUUCCAAUCAAGGGCAGCCACAAUAGCUCGAGCUACAUCGCUUGCUAUACCAUUUUCCUCUAUCUUUUUUAGCUGUUAAUUAAUGCUUCAAUAGAUUCUUGAAGUUGUACAUUAUUCACCUUUGAAAAGGGUUUUAAAAGGAAGAAAGAAAAAAUUGGAAAGAGGGUUUUAAGCAAAUAUGUCAGUUAUUUGCACUCUGCGAUGGUGGACAGAGUGGGGAUAGAGGAAAGGUGCUUCAUCUUUUUUGGGCUAUAAUUUGUGUGUCGUGUGGAGAAAAUGAAGAAGAAGAAAGAGAGGUCUAAUCUUUUUUGUGGAAACAACGCUGAGGGGG
rnacentral:lncRNA from 1 species